CACGUAGGGCGCAAGCGUUGUCCGGAAUUACUGGGCGUAAAGCGCACGUAGGCGGCUUUGUAAGUUAGAGGUGAAAGCCCGGGGCUCAACUCCGGAAUUGCCUUUAAGACUGCAUCGCUAGAACGUCGGAGAGGUAAGUGGAAUUCCGAGUGUAGAGGUGAAAUUCGUAGAUAUUCGGAAGAACACCAGUGGCGAAGGCGACUUACUGGACGACUGUUGACGCUGAGGUGCGAAAGCGUGGGGAGCAAACAGG
rnacentral:rRNA from 1 species